rnacentral:rRNA from 1 species
GAUGAACGCUGGCGGCGUGCCUAAUACAUGCAAGUCGAGCGAACAGACGAGGAGCUUGCUCCUCUGACGUUAGCGGCGGACGGGUGAGUAACACGUGGAUAACCUACCUAUAAGACUGGGAUAACUUCGGGAAACCGGAGCUAAUACCGGAUAAUAUAUUGAACCGCAUGGUUCAAUAGUGAAAGACGGUUUUGCUGUCACUUAUAGAUGGAUCCGCGCCGCAGUAGCUCGUUGGUAAGGUAACGGCUUACCAAGGCAACGAUGCGUAGCCGACCUGAGAGGGCGAUCGGGCACCACGGGACCGAGACUAGGUCCAAACUCCUUAGGGAAGCAGCAGUACGGUAUCGUUCGCGAUGGGCGCAAGCUUGACGGAGCUACGCCGCGUCGCUGACGCAUGUCUUCGGGUCGUCAAACUAUGUUACUAGGGAAACAACAAUUUGUAAGUUAAUAUGCCCGUCUUCUCCGUACCUUAACAGGAAGCCACGGCUAAAUCCGGGC